CCGGCCCAGCCCGGCCCACCCCUAACCCGCACAUGUAACCGAGCUCGUAUUCGCGUCGUCGCCCUUUCUCCUCUCUCCUCUCUCCUCUCCUCCCCCGUCUCCGCCGCUCGCGAUCCCCACCGCCGCCGGCGACGCGCGCGUGGCGGUCGCCGGGGGUUGUGUCCGCGCCGCCCCGACGAGCCGGCUCGUCGACGGAGACGGUGCGGCUGUUCCUCCGUACUCGUCGCCCGCCACCUCAUCCCGCGGCGCCGUCUCCCUCGAUCCCCUCGCCAAAGCGCGCAAGGAAGGAAGGCUCUCCCCCGCCACCGACGCCGUCCGUCCAGAUCUAAGGUUUUGACACAAUGGGGUUAUUCAAGGGCAGCUUCACAUUCAUGAUGGGAAUGGGAUGUGGUGUCUAUGUAGCUCAGAACUACAAUGUUCCAAACAUCAAGAAGCUUUUCAACACAUAUGUUUUCAUGGCAAAGCACAUCGAGGAAACGUAUCGGAAGCCAAAGAAAGAUGAUGACUGAUGAUUUCCACAGAUUUUCAUUUUGGUGCCCCUGGAAAUCAACGUGUAACUAACAUGAUACAGAAAUAUGAUGUUCAUGAAUGGGGAAGUCGGUAAAGUCGGUUCUGAUCGUCGGCAAUUGAACUAUGGUGGCUUAAAUGCUUUACCGGUGAACCACUGUUUACUACUUUAUUAUACUGCUUUUAGGGGGGUUGUUAGAGAGACAGAAGUUGCUGUCCAGAUGACAAUGACUCCCUUUUAUCUUUUGUUGGUGCUACGAAAAUGCACUUGACCUUUUUUUGGCUGUUGAAAUGUGUAGGACUGGAAAUCCACCACUAUUAUCAUGUCCAUCUGUAUAUGUCAUGCUUAGAUUUUCAAGAGGCCACUGUUUACUAUACUGUUUUUAGGGGGUUGUCGGAGAAGCAGAAGUUACUGUCUACUCGAUGACAAUGACUUCCUUUUGUGGUUUGUCGGUGCUAGGAAAAUUUACUAGACCUUUUUUUGGCUGUUGAGAUUUGUAGGCCUGGAAAAUUUACCACUGUUAUCAUGUCCAUGUGUAUAUGUCAUGCUGAGACUAACUUUUCAAGAGGUCACUGUUGUUUGUGCAUGCAAUUAUGGGGGUGAUUAAUCGGAAUGACAUGCUG
rnacentral:lncRNA from 1 species